AGGUAAAAAUCCUUGGUGAAGUCACCAGAUAUGGAUGGCGUGUAUGUUGUUCGACAUUGCAGCGUGCUGAUGAGUUAAUAAAGAGGCAGCAAAAACCUGGGAUCUGCAUUGGCCCUGUCAAGUCUGGAGAGUGUUUUUACCGUUUAAUGAAUUAAACUGUAAUAAAAGUUUUUAAAUGGA